AACGAACGCUGGCGGCAUGCCUAACACAUGCAAGUCGAACGAUGCCUUCGGGCAUAGUGGCGCACGGGUGCGUAACGCGUGGGAAUCUGCCUUUCGGUUCGGAAUAACUCAGGGAAACUUGAGCUAAUACCGGAUAACGUCGCAAGACCAAAGAUUUAUCACCGAAAGAUGAGCCCGCGUAGGAUUAGCUAGUUGGUGAGGUAAAGGCUCACCAAGGCGACGAUCCUUAGCUGGUCUGAGAGGAUGAUCAGCCACACUGGGACUGAGACACGGCCAGGACUCCUACGGGAGGCAGCAGUGGGGAAUAUUGGACAAUGGGCGAAAGCCUGAUCCAGCAAUGCCGCGUGAGUGAUGAAGGCCUUAGGGUUGUAAAGCUCUUUUACCCGGGAAGAUAAUGACGGUACCGAGAGAAUAAGCCCCGGCUAACUCCGUG
rnacentral:rRNA from 1 species